AUCAGGGCCCAGCAGGCCCAUAUAAAAGGAGCUGCAGGGCUAUGAGUUCAGUCUGCUAGCAGGGCUCAAGGGAGCAAGAGGUGUUCCUGACUGGCUGUGGGAGCUGUAAGGGCUAAGAGUGUGACUUGGCCAGAGGGCUGAAUCACUGAAGACCCACCUGAUGAGUGCAGCAACUGACAGGGAGAGCCAUGAGUAGAGGAAAUUGAGAAGAAACUGCAGAGGCAUACACGCUCAACCAGGAGAUGAUAAAGCAGACGGAUGGAUGAAGCUGGGGGAUGAUGAAUGUGCCAUUCUCAUGAGUAUAUGGCCCAUGUUACUAAAGGAUGGCUUAUAGUACUAUAUCACUUUAAAACUGUGGGAUCCUGCAUCAAGGGAGCUGAGAAGACCCACCCUAACAGACGGUUGCUGCCAUUUUGGAUUUAGUCUGUCUGCGGAACAAGUCUUCGUUGUUGUGGAUGCUUUUAAAGCUUCAUUGUACAUAGAAAAAUACAUAGUUCAGGAUUCCUUGGUGCUUAGAUGUGCUAGUGUGUGGCAACAGAAGUCUUUUAAAUCAUUCAGAAAGGUUGCCAGGAUUUGUCCCUCUGAGGGAAUCAAAAAUGAAGCUUGGAAUUUUGUAAACCCCUCUGGGACUCUGCUUUAUUCUGUGGGAACGUGACAUUUUGAAAGUAUUAGUCCGGUAGUGAUCUUGCUUCAGCCAUUAGAGUGUUACUGUAAGGAGUAAAAAAAUAAAACCAGUACUUGCAUCCUUUAUAGAUGCACACUGUAUUUAUUUGGUAGGACUGGGGUGGUCUAAUUAUUCUAAAGAGCAGUUGCUGUUUAACCAAGAUAAAAGUUUGAAUACGAGUAUAGUGUAAGUGUGUGUAAAGUUAGUAUGACCUGAUUAAAUUAGACUCUAAAGAGCUAGUAACAGCUGGGCUUCUGGAAAAUGAGUUCAAGCUUAAAGGAUGAUGACAUGGACCAAAUCCUCAGCUGAAGUAAAUUGCUGCAUCUCUAUUGACUUCUGUGGAAUUACCCCAAUUUAUACCAGCUGAGGAUCUUGCUCACUGUGUUUUAUAUAAGGAAAAUGUGUAUAUUUCCAGUUUGCUGUGUGAUGCAGAUUGUAGGCUGUUAGGAAAUCAUACAAGGUCAAAGUCAUUGAACAGUCUACAAUAUAGGUGUAUAUACUCGUAUAGUGGAUUUUGUGUGUGUUUGUACAGUUAAGUGCAAAACUCCAUUCAGCUGUAACUGGAGUCACAACCAGUGACUUGAGAAUAAGAUGAUAGCUGCCAAUGCCAUCUUGGCCGAUACCCUGGGAAUUGAAUCAGGGACCUGCUGAUCCAAAAGCAUGAGUCGCUGCAACUUGAGCUAAAUAGCCAAUCUCUGUGUUUAGGAGCUGUAAUAGACUUGAACUCUUUGUGGGUCCAGCGAAAAGGUGAGGCUGUAAUACACACUGACCAAUGGAUUACAUACUACCCUUAGAGGACGUGCGUCCUGAAUGUCAAAGGCCCACAACCAUUUGAAUACUGGAUGAGCCCUCAUUCAUGUGAUGCUGAUGCACCAGGGAAUAAAAUGGGUACCUCUAGAUCCAAAAGCAAAACUAUUAUAGCUUCUAGCUCAAGAGCCUGUCUCUUUAGCUGAAUCCAUAGAAAGUCACAGCCUCUGUGAAUCAGGCCAAUCAUUGGUGCUAUGUCUGAGUGGGGUAUCUAGUUCUGCAGUUAAGUUUUGUUUCCCCAAAGGAUGUGGAAAGGAGCAAGUGGGGCUUGGGAUUUGGGGACCACAUAGCGAACUGGGAUACCCCUGACACAGUUAAGAAGGUGCCAUUUUUGCGUUGUUACAUUGACUCUGACUCUCAACUCUUCUGUGUGAGUUGUACGUCAACGUAACUCAAAUUUCAUUGGCUUAACAUCAGUUAAGGGAUGGAGAACCGGGCCCUUACAGACUAGACUAGUUCAAGCCAAAGAUGCUGCUGUAAACUGUGUUCAUCUUGCAAAAAUAAUCUGUCAUGAAAGACAGACGUACAUAGUAUCAAGUAAGCAGCCCUGCCCCUGAAAGUUUUUGCUUGCUUGAUCCCAAACUGUACUUUGUCAGUGAUAGCUUCCACUGCCAACAGUGCAGUAACUCCAGUUGUAGCUGCAGCCUGUGAUAUAGAGGCUGGAGUUAAACCUUCUUGGUGACAUUUUGUUGUGUGGGAAAGCUUUUGGAAGACGCUCUGAUAAUACAAUAUGGAAAGCAGGCUAUCUUAGCCAUGUGCUAUGCUGACUUGGAACACCUCCUGCUUGGAGAACAUCCACUGGCAAGUGCUGCAAGGCUUGAACUGUCAAUUGAGUGUUUUAUUUUAAAUGUGUUCUCUACGCAUAUACCAGAGUUAUUUUGAGACUUUGCCUUCUGGGUUGAUACACGAUGGCUUUUCUAUCUAGUAUCAGCAUAGGUGUACAAACAGUUCAAGCGCUUAGGGUAGUUGUACAUGGAGCCAAUUAAAAAGUAAAGGCCGUAUGUAUUUGGAGGUGUGGAAUAGCUAUUACCAGCUCCAUUCUGGAGGCAAUAAAAGGUAUAAAUAUCAGUCACAUCUGUUUUUUGACCAAGAUGAUUUGGUAAAAUACCAAGAACCAGAAAAACCCAAACCAGUCUUGUGAGGGGUUUUGUUUUCAUGGCAGAGCUUCCACACACCCUGAGUAAGGGGCACCACGUAGCUGUGCUGCCCCAGGAACACCCAGCUAUAAUGCCAGCCUUGGUUCUCCUCUAAUUCCCCACCAGAAACAAAUCUGUACCAUCCUUCUCCCUAGUGCAGAUUACUUGGCUUUGUGCACCAGCUCAACUGGGUUAGCCAGUGUGUAGGGAGGUGGAGUCAAAGCUCCAACCACUCCCCGCUGACCUGCGGAGAAGGGGGAAUUGUGGCUGCAGUCCCCGCUGCUCUGUCACCACCAAAGGUGGGUAGCCCACAUAGUGACAUAAGGCAGCAACUGGCACCCUCUGCAUGUACAUGAAUGGCAAACCCUGCUGGUACCUUAUGAGGCAGUGUUUCUACUGCAGUAGGGCCCAGAGACCUUAGUUGUGAGGAACAGUCCCUGUUCCAUGCAGUUUACAAUCUAAGACAACAAUCAACACUUGGAAGAUAAGCGUGAGAGGGACUCAAUCAAAAUACAUCCAAUAUUAUGUACAUUAUAUAACAUACCCAUUUAAAAAAAAAAAGAAUAUGAAUGGAUAGAAAUGGCAGUCAGCUACAUCCCAGUCUAGCCUUGAUUAAUUGGCUACUGAUUUGUAAGGCCUCAGUGAGGAAGAGGGUCCUGAGGAAGUAUCUAAAAGGGGACAGGGUAGCAGUCUUGCGGAUGAGAUUGGGGGAGGGCAUUAUGUACACAGGACAGCAUGGAAGAAGGCACAGAAAUGGCUGCAGGGGAAGUGAACAAGUGGCUGGGAGAGCUAGUGGCAUAGCUGGAGAGGAGGAAGCAGGGUGUGAUGCAGGUAAGAGACAAGCAGAUAAAGUUUCCACAAGUCAGCUUAAACCCUUGGCCAGCCUAUGCCCUUCAGUGUGUCCAGAACUGUUAGCAGGGCCAAUGUCACCCCUUGCCUGAACAAGGACAAGGUGCAAGAAUUUUGCUGCUUCCUGAACAGGAAGGCAGAGGGAAGGUCUUCUACCACCCUUUCCCCCUUCCUCCUCCCCCUGCCAUUUUGCAGUAGCAAA